GGGCAUAGUGGUGUGUGCCUGUAAUCCCAGCUACUCAGGUUGAGGCAGGAGGUUUACUUGAGCCCAGGAGUUCAAGGCUAGCCUAGGCAAUAUAGCAAGACUCUGUCUAUU
rnacentral:sRNA from 1 species